AUACGGAGGGAGCAAGCGUUAUUCGGAAUCACUGGGCGUAAAGGACGCGUAGGCGGGUUUGUAAGUCAGGUGUGAAAUCUUACAGCUCAACUGUAGAACUGCACUUGAAACUACAGACCUAGAGUAUGGAAGGGGCAGAUGGAAUUAGUGGUGUAGGGGUAAAAUCCGUAGAUAUCACUAGGAAUACCGAAAGCGAAGGCGAUCUGCUGGGACAUUACUGACGCUGAGGCGUGAAAGCGUGGGGAGCAAACAGGAUUAGAAACCCCAGUAGUCC
rnacentral:rRNA from 1 species